rnacentral:rRNA from 1 species
GUUGAACGCUGGCGGCAUGCCUUACACAUGCAAGUCGAACGGCAGCACGGGAGCUUGCUCCUGGUGGCGAGUGGCGAACGGGUGAGUAAUACAUCGGAACGUACCCAGGAGUGGGGGAUAACGUAGCGAAAGUUACGCUAAUACCGCAUAUUCUGUGAGCAGGAAAGCGGGGGAUCGCAAGACCUCGCGCUCUUGGAGCGGCCGAUGUCGGAUUAGCUAGUUGGUGGGGUAAAAGCUCACCAAGGCGACGAGCCGUAGCAGGUCUGAGAGGAUGAUCUGCCACACUGGGACUGAGACACGGCCCAGACUCCUACGGGAGGCAGCAGUGGGGAAUUUUGGACAAUGGGGGCAACCCUGAUCCAGCCAUGCCGCGUGAGUGAAGAAGGCCUUCGGGUUGUAAAGCUCUUUCGGCGGGGAAGAAAUGGCAACGGCUAAUAUCCGUUGUUGAUGACGGUACCCGCAUAGGAAGCACCGGCUAACUACGUGCCAGCCGCCGCCGUAA